AUUGAACGCUGGCGGCAGGCCUAACACAUGCAAGUCGAGCGGAGCGGCGGACGGGCGAGUAAUGCCUAGGAAUCUGCCUGGUAGUGGGGGAUAACGUCCGGAAACGGGCGAUAAUACCGCAUACUAACAGAUGAGCCUAGGUCGGAUUAGCUGGUUGGUGGGGUAAAGGGCUACCAGGGCGACGAUCCGUAACUGGUCUGAGAGGCUGAUCAGUCACCCUGGAACUGAGACACGGUCCGAACUCCUGCGGGAGACGGCAGUGGGAAAUAUUGGACAAUGGUCGAAGGCCUUAUCCAGCCAUGCCGCGUGGGUGAAGAAGGGCUUCGGAUUGUAAGGCACUUUAAGUUGGGAGGCGUUACCAACAGAGUAAGCACCGGCUAACUUCGUGCCAGCCGCCGCGGUAAUUC
rnacentral:rRNA from 1 species